CCUUCCCUUCCCUUCCCUUCCCUUCCCUUCCCUGGUUGCUGGGACCUGUUGGUAACUGCAAGAAACUUGAAGGUGAGAUGGGGGGAGGCACGGGGAGCCAGCAACAAAGCUGCUUUGGUUAUCUAGCUCCUACUUCCUCCCUUAGUCUUCCCUCCUCUCCUGAGAGCUCAGGACUGUACUCCAGCCCCUUCACAGUCUAGAAUGAACGUCUCGUCUCAACAAGACCUUUUGUUUAAACACAUCUACAACACCCACCCACACCCCUUUUGCUGUACAUGAAGAUAUCCCUAGGCUUCAGGGCUUCAGAGUUGGAUACCUUUGGGAGCUGGUUUCUCUUACCGCUUCUCUUACUGCUCCUUACCACAAGCCGCUGCACAGAAGAAGAAACAGACUCACACUAGCAGUAGUGGGUCUGGCAUCCAGCUACUUGAGAACCAGAGGCUGGACCAUUGCCAGAGCCCAGGACCUCAAUACCAGCCUGGGCCAGUGAGACUCUAUGUCCAUUCCUGUGUGUUUAUGGUAUGGGUAGAGUAGCCUUGAAGUCAUCUGUGUAAAGUGCCAAAAUGCACAGGCACACCCAGAAUUGUUCUCUGGCAAUGAAUUUAUUUUUAUUUCGUAUGCAUUGGUGUUUUGCCUGCAUGUAUGUCUGUGUGAGGGUGUUGAAUCCCCUAGAAUUGGAGUUACAGAUGGUUGUGAGCUGUCAUGUGAAUGCUGGGGAUUGAACUUGGAUCCUCUUGAGGAGCAGCCUUUAAAAAAACAAAACAAAACAAAACUUCUGUGCCAUCUCUCUAACCCCUUCUCUUCUCCCUUAUGUUCGGGGUAUUUUUCCUGUGCACAUGAUGCAUGCAGUGUUCAUGGAGGCCAGAAGAAGAGAUUGGAUCCCCUGGGACUGGAGUUAUAGACAGUUGUGAACUGCUUCAUGAGUGCUGGGACCUGAACCCAGGACCCCCCCGAAAAAGCAACCAGUGUUCUUAACCACUGAGCCAUCUCGCCAUCCCACAGAUCACUCCACCCCCAUUCUAAGCAGCCUAUCAGAGCAGAGUAGCCUGGACAUGAUUGACACCAAUACUGACCAAGAACUCACAUGCUUCAAGAUGACAACCAGGAGCCUAGAGAUCACCGUCAGCAGCCGUCAGCAGCCCCAGCUCCCCAGGAAUGUGGUUUGCUGAGAACCUGGUGAGCACCCUCAGUGGUGCUCUAGGAAGGCUAGAAGGUGGGCAUGCUGCCACGCAGGAACCCAGCUACACAGCCUUGGUGCAAGAGUCUCAAACUCAGAUCAAAGGCCAAUGCCUCUGGGGUGCUGGAGGGAGGCACUGUUUGUUUUUAUGGGGGUUUUGUUGUUGUUGUUGUUGUUGUCAUUGGAUUCUCGUUUUUUUUUUUCCUUAUUGUGUUGUGCUGAGGAGUGGAACCCAUGGCUUUGUGUAUAUCAGGCAAGUGCUCUCCCCUUGAACCACGCCUCCAGUUCCAAAACUGUGUCAGUGUGUGGGGCAGCUUCCCGUACGCUCACAACAGCCAGACAGAUUCAAACUGGGUCUUCUGUGUUGUUCUUGUUCUUGUCUUGUCUUGUCUUUCUUUCUUUUUUUCUUUUUUGACACAGGGUUUCUCUGUGUAGCCUGGGCUAUCCUGGAACUCACAAUGUAGACUAGGCUGGCCUGGACUGACAGAUAACUGCCCACAUCUGCCUCCUGAGUGCUGAAUAAAGGUGUGCACCACCAUGCCUGGAUUGAGACAGUGUUGGGGAGUUAAUCCAGGGUAUUGGCAUGUUAAGCAAGCCCUCUACCAGCUGAGCUACAGUACUAGUCCAAGAUUCUGAAGAGAGAAAGAAGACAGAGACAGAGACUGACAGCCUUGAGUAGAAACUCUGGAGAGAGGCUUAGAGGAGAAAACCCUGGACUCUCAGGCUGUACUACGCAUGAAGCUUAUCAACAAAGGCUAAUGUCUCCUCAGCUGGACCACAGGCUGGCCGUAGGCUCUGCACUUUACAGAUCAUGCUUCCAGGAUGCUCAGAGCAAUUCCCUAAGAGGACAGCAUUAUCUGUACAGAAGCAGGGACAGAUCAUUACCCAAGUGAGGAAUGACAGAGCACAUCGGAGCUGGAACUGAGCACUGAAACCGUUUGACCAACCCUGAGCGGUAGCAAGGUCAGGCUUGGACCCCAGAGCCCCAGCAGCCCCAGCAGCUCCUUCCCAGCCUCCAAUCCUCAGUUCCCAGGGAUGCAGCUCUCAACAGCAGCCCCUCCUUUGAAGAUCCUCAGGCUGGAAGGAGACAGCAAUGCACAACUGUGUAAACAGAAGAGUAGAGACACGGAGCAGAUGAACCAGGAAGGCAGCACAGUGACGGCAAAAAAGACUGAGGUGCACAUGCUAAGCACAUCCCAGCCUCGGCACGGCAACAAACAAACAAACAACAACAAAACCCCAAAACUAAGGCGACAGAUCCCAUGGAGUGGGGGUGGUGAAUACAGAGCCCGUGGUCACAGUGCUAACCGAGUAGAAAUCGAAAGGAAGGAUUGACAGUCAAGGGGGAGAGAUGGCAGGCGGCAAGGACAGCAAGAGCAAAGGCCCUGUGGUGGUCUGAGUUCCCUUUGUCCAUGGCUCAGCAAUGUCACGUGCCAGAGUACGCGGUGGGCAUGGCUGCAACAGUUUGUGGAGCAGAGGGUAGGCACAUAGGUGCAAGGACCUGUGUAUAGCAGCCCCCAAAACUGGAUGGCAGCGCUGGGAAGUGAUAGGGUGAGGAGUGGAUAAGUCUGCCUUUGGGGUGCAAAGGAGGAACUAAUCUGGAUAUGGAAGGAUGGUACAUUGUGUGGCAGUGAGACUCUGGUUUCCUUGUCCCCAAGCGCCAUCUUCUGCCUCUAACUAAGCCGGGAUCUGUGACACAGAGAUGAACAGCCCUGUGUGCGUUGUGGUCACAUUCAGAGUAGUUGGCAGAGGGGUGAGGGGAGAACCAUGAAGGAAAGGGCACAAGGGGAUAGAGGGGAUGUUUGGGUGGUACUGGAGCUGAAGAGAGAAGGCAGUCACAUAGUCCUGGAGCAUAGAGGGAUAGGAAGCAGACAGCGGGAGGAACCAGGGCCUAGAGCUGUCCACAGGGGCUUGGAAAGGAGUUGAAGACAGUACAAAGCCAUGACAGCUGUACACAUUGGGAUGGCCCACAGUGACAAUUCUGGACUGUUGGUAUCUUUUAAAAACACAAAAGAUAUUAUAAGAAAGUAUUUUCGUUUUAAUCCCAUGUGUGGGGAAACGGGGCUGCUUCAGACUGUCUGUAGAAGGUUGACUAUGAUUUGCUUCAUGCUCUAGCAGAGGAGUGGCGUUGCCAGCUCUUACUGUGUGAUGCUUCUGGGAACUUUUCAGAGGGUAUAUAAAGGCUAGGACCCUGAGAGGAAGGGUUGGGGGUUGUUAGUCAUUCAGGGGGUUGGUAGCUGUUUGUUGUCGGACUCAGAGAAGGAACAAGAAGAAAUUAUAUUCAAUGAUCUCCAUUGCUCCUCGCCCUCUCUCCUUUUUUCCUCUCCUAUCAAGUGAUAGGGUUAAAGAAGAACCCACAAAGUAGCAAAGACCACCUACAAUGGCCCACUAUGUUUGGGGCCAAGAGGAAGGUCAAUGGGGGCCUGAGAAGCAGAGUGACAGGGUGUUGGUGAUAGAUAAUCUUAGUUCCUCUGUAUAGAAUGAUUGAUCACUCUGGUCUAAGAUGUGCUUUCUGCUCAGCAAAGCCAAACCUUGUCCUUUCACAGCUCAGGAGACAACGGUAACAAUAACCCCGUCGAACUAGCAGAGGAGUGAGCUGAACUACGGAGCCUGAGCCAGGCUCGCAGGUGGGUACCUUGCUUUGUCUUGCUUGCCUCUCCAGCAUUCGGAAAAGCUGUUAUCGCUGCCGUCGCCUGGACAUAGGAAGUCAGGACUCAGCUCUGAGGCCUGGCCAGGACACUCUAUUCACUAUAACACCCUCCCAGUCUUGCAAAGCUGGAGGCUGUGACCAUGGGUGUUGCUGAGGGAUGCACGUCUUCCCAGGAGGAGGAGCCUUGACCAAGCUUCCUUCUUCCUGGGCACAGGAGUUAAUGCCUUUACUGCCCAGAGUCAAGUUCACAUCUGGCUGGAAGCUUAGCAGCCUCACUGUUCAGAAAUGUAUAUGAGAAGAAUGGAGAAGUUAGAGCUCUGGGCCUCUCAACCACGGUCAGAUAUGAUUCAAUGUCCAAUGCCCCUACAGGUCCAUAUGUGAGAGCUUGUCCACUGGCCAGUGGGAGGUGGUGGAACUUAAGGAGGUGGUGCUUAUUGAAAGGAAGUUAAGUCACCAGAGCAUUCCCCUAGGAAGAACCUGGGGUCCUGUCUCCUUGCUUUCUAGACACCAAGAGGUAGUCAACUCCGUUGUCAUACUCUCCUGGCUCCAUCAUGAUGCUCUGCUGCAUCACAAUAGACCAACCAACCUUGGACGGGGGCUCUCGGAUCUUUAGUCGGUAUCCCAGGAGUUUUGUCACAGCAAUGAACACUGACACAUCCACAGAGGAGGAGAUGAGAAAGGCAUACAUUUCUUUAUGAAUGGGAAUGAGACUAGGAAAGGAUGAGGGAUGAAUAAAGAGGCCCAGAGCUACAAAAGGCUGAAGGGGAGGAGCUGCGGAGCAGAGGAGCCAGCCAGAGCCAAGUGUAGUACAAGCUGUGGAAAACGACAGAAUGAGGCAUGGGGGGUGGGGGGGAUAAGGGUUCCAUGGCAGAGCCAUAGACUGAGUAGCACCUCCCAAAAUUCACGUCCACCCAGGUACUUGGAACGUGAUUCUUUUUUUAAAAAAGAUUUAUUUAUUUAUUAUACAUAUGAGUACACUGUAGCUGUCUUUAGACACCAGAAGAGGGCAUCAGAUCUCAUUACAGAUGGGUGUGAGCCACCAUGUGGUUGCUGGGAGUUGAACUCAGGACCUCUGGAAGAGCAGUCGGUGCUCUUAACCGCUGAGUCGUUUCUCCUGCCUGGAAUGUGAUUCUUUCAGUCAGUUUCACAUUACUCUAACAAUACCACAGGAAAGAAAUGUGAUACUAAUUAUUGUGUAUAUUGUAUAUUGGAUGUAUUUAUGUUCUUAAUAUAAACCUUCUAGAAUACAAAACUUAGGAGAAUAUUUUGCCAAGCUGGUGUCUUCCAAACCAUAGUUUUCUUUUUUUCCCUCCCUCCCUUCCUCUCUCCUUCCCUCCCUUCCUCUCUCCCUCUCUCCUUCCAUUCCUUCCUUCCCUUUUCUUUUGUUCUGCUUUGAUACAGGGUGUCAUGUAGCCCAGGCUAGCCUUGUACUUGUUACAUAGCUGAGGGUGACCUUGGACUUCUGAUUCUCCUGCUUUUGCCUUCUAAGUCCUGGGAUGACAAAGAUGUGCCACCACACCACUGAAACAGAAUGUUCAGUGCUGAAGAUUUCCAGGCUUGUGUUCAUGUGCCUCUAAUUACGUCACGGCUGUCUUCUUUAAGCAAAGAUAACUCGACAUGUUCAAAUACUGCACGUCACAAAGAACCUCUUUAGUGGUGAAAAGGUAUUGGUCAUCUAGGGAGGACAGCUGUAGACAAGGACAUUUUACUUUAUCUAAAAGACAACUUGCUCUACUACUGGUGGGCGUGUCCCCAGAGGACUCUGUAUGCCCCACGGAGACGCCUGUGCAUCAUGCUCUCUGGUGCUGUUCACUGUAAUGAGGAAUUAUAACCAGCUUAGCUAUCCACCAACAGAUGAAUGGGCAAUGUGGUUCAUAUACAGGGUGGGAUUUUAUUUGGCUAUUAAUAAAAUGGGCUGGAGAGAAGGCUCAGUGGUUAAGAGCACUGACUGCUCUUCCAGAGGUCCUGAGUUCAACUCCCAGGAACCACAUGGUGGCUCCCAACCAUCUAUAAUGGGAUCCGAUGCCCUCUUCUGGUGUGUCUUAAGACAGCUGCAGUGUACUUAUAUGUAAUAAAUAAAUAAAUCUUUAAAAAAAGUAGUCAUGAAAUUUGCAGGAAGAUGGGUAGAUAAGUUUGUUUAUUCUUUAAAACAAAACAAAACAAACAAACACACUGAUUGAAAGUACUGGAGAGAUGGCUCAGUGGUUACGAGCACUGGCUGCUCUUCUGGAGGAUUGGAGUUGGAGCCGUAGCAUGGGUAUAGUGACCUUCUUUAACUCCAGUCCCAGGGGACCCACCACCCCCUAUUGGUCUCCAUGGGUACUGCUCUCAUGUGGUCCACAGGCAUCCAUGCAAGCAAACCACCGAAACACAUGAAAACUAUAAUUCAAAAUGAACUUGGAGAUGAAAAUGAAUUGGCUGGAGAGAUGGCUCAGCGGUUAAGAGCACUGACUGCUCUUCCAGAGGUCCUGAGUUCAAUUCCCAGCAACCACAUGGUGGCUCACAACCAUCUGUAAAGAGAUCCGAUGCCCUCUUCUGGUGUGUCUGAAGACAACU